rnacentral:rRNA from 1 species
UACGUAGGGGGCUAGCGUUGUCCGGAAUCAUUGGGCGUAAAGAGCGCGUAGGCGGCCAGAUAAGUCCGGUGUGAAAGUCAAAGGCUCAACCUUUGAAUGCCGCUGGAAACUGUCUGGCUAGAGUCCGGGAGGGGCGAGUGGAAUUCCUGGUGUAGCGGUGAAAUGCGCAGAUAUCAGGAGGAACACCGGUGGCGAAGGCGGUUCUCUGGGCCUGUACUGACGCUGAGGAACGAAAGCGUGGGGAGCGAACAGG